rnacentral:rRNA from 1 species
GACGAACGCUGGCGGCGUGCUUAACACAUGCAAGUCGAACGGAAAGGCCUUUUCGGAGGUACUCGAGUGGCGAACGGGUGAGUAACACGUGGGUGAUCUGCCCUGCACUCUGGGAUAAGCCUGGGAAACUGGGUCUAAUACCGGAUAGGACCGCACUUUAGUGUGUGUGGUGGAAAGUUUUUUCGGUGUAGGAUGAGCCCGCGGCCUAUCAGCUUGUUGGUGGGGUAAUGGCCUACCAAGGCGGCGACGGGUAGCCGGACUGAGAGGUUGGUCGGCCACAUUGGGACUGAGAUACGGCCCAGACUCCUACGGGAGGCAGCAGUGGGGAAUAUUGCACAAUGGGCGCAAGCCUGAUGCAGCGACGCCGCGUGGGGGAUGACGGCCUUCGGGUUGUAAACUCCUUUCGCCAGGGACGAAGCGUUUUGUGACGGUACCUGGAGAAGAAGCACCGGCCAACUACGUG